rnacentral:rRNA from 1 species
UAAAUUUUAAUUUUUUAUUUUUUAGUAUUGCAUACUAUUAUAUGAGAAUUUUAUGUUAAUAAAAUAUAGAAAUAAAGAGUAGAAUUUUUUUUUGUUUUGUUGUUUCAUAACAAAGAUUAAAAAAAUUAGUGUUGAAAAGUCGUUCUUUAUUAUAUUUGUUUUGUUAGUUAUAUUAGAAAUUUAUAUUGUUUUAUUAUUACUUUUUAAAAUAAUGACUUAAAGUAUCAUUAUAUUUAGUUUUAUAACUGUUUAUUUGUAUGAAUUUUUUUUUUAAAAAAUUAAUUAUUAAUUUUUUAAUAAUUUUAUUAUAUAUAAAUUAGUAGAUUUUUUAUAAUGAUAUUAUUAGUAAUAAUAUAAUAAGAAAACUCAAAGUUUAAUCAAAUGUUUUUUAAAGACUUAGGCUUUAUAUUAAAGUUUGCUUCUGCCCAGUGAAAAUUAAAUGGCAGUCUUAGCGUGAGGACAUUAAGGUAGCAAAAUAAUUUGUGCUUUUAUUGAGUUCCAGUAUGAAUGAAGUUAUUGGUUAAUUUAUUUUCUUAUUUUAUUAUUGAAUUUAUAUCUAAAUAAAAAAAUUUAGUUGUAAUUAAACAAAGAUAAGUCUUCGGAAAUUCUUUUUAAAUUAAAAAUUUGUUUUUUAUUUAAAAUUUUCUAGGGCAGAAUAUUAUAUAAUUGUUAUUUCUAUUAAUAAUUUUGUGAAUUACUCCGGAGUUAACAGAAAAUCAUACCUAAUCUAGUUCUUAUAGUAAGGUAAGUUUUACAUCGAUGUUGUAUUUAAGUUUAUUAAAAAAGGAGAAGAUUUAAUUAUUAAGACUGUUCUUCUUUAAAUUAACUUAACGUGAUAUUAGUUUAAUUCAUUGUAAGAUAGAAUUGUUUAUCUUGUUAAUUAUUUAUUUUUAGUGUUAUUAGUACGAAAGGAAAGUUAUAAAAGUUUAAAACUUUUUAAGGGAAGACCUUA